UUGAAGGUGGGCUGGCGGCGGGUCCGGGUCUGCAGGCUGGUUCUGCGGACUGCGGGCCAUGGUUGGUUGGACUGAACCGUGCCGGCCUGGAGCGCUGAGCUGGAGGGGGUGGCAGUGAGCGGACGCUGCGGGCUCGAUUUGGCUGAUUGGGGAGUCAGCAGGAGGCAGGAGCCAUGCAGGGCCAGCGGAGCCUGCUGCUGGGCCCUGCCCGCCUCUGCCUGCGCCUGCUUCUGCUCCUGGGCUCCAGGCGCCGCUGCCCACCUCUGCUCCGGGGCCUGGUACAGCGCUGGCGCUAUGGCAAGGUCUGCCUGCGCUCCCUGGUCUACAACUCCUUCGGGGGCGGUGACACUGCUGUCGAUGCUGCUUUUGAGCCUAUCUACUGGCUGGUGGACAACGUGAUCCGCUGGUGUGGGGUGGUGUUCGUGGUACUGGUGAUUGUGUUGACCGGCUCCAUCGUGGCCAUCGCCUACCUAUGUGUCCUACCCCUCAUUCUCCGAACCUACUCAGUGCCACGACUCUGCUGGCAUUUCUUCUAUAGUCAUUGGAAUCUGAUCCUCAUCGUCUUCCAUUACUACCAGGCCAUCACCACUCCACCUGGAUAUCCACCCCAGGGCAGGAAUGAUAUCGCAACCGUCUCCAUCUGUAAGAAGUGCAUCUACCCCAAGCCAGCCCGAACACACCACUGCAGCGUCUGCAAUAGGUGUGUGCUGAAGAUGGAUCAUCACUGUCCCUGGCUAAACAACUGUGUGGGCCACUAUAACCAUCGGUACUUCUUCUCUUUCUGCUUUUUCAUGACUCUGGGCUGUGUCUACUGCAGCUAUGGAAGUUGGGACCUUUUCCGGGAGGCUUAUGCUGCCAUUGAGAAAAUGAAACAGCUCGACAAGAACAAACUACAGGCGAUUGCCAACCAGACUUAUCACCAGACCCCACCACCCACCUUCUCCUUCCGAGAAAGGGUGACUCACAAGAGUCUUGUCUACCUCUGGUUCCUGUGCAGUUCUGUGGCACUUGCUCUGGGUGCCCUAACUGUAUGGCAUGCUGUUCUCAUCAGUCGAGGUGAGACUAGUAUUGAAAGGCAUAUCAACAAGAAGGAGAGACGUCGGCUGCAGGCCAAGGGCAGAGUUUUUAGGAAUCAUUACAACUAUGGCUGCUUGGACAACUGGAAGUUAUUCCUGGGUGUGGACACAGGAAGGCAUUGGCUUACUCGGGUGCUGUUACCUUCUAGUCAUCUGCCCCACGGGAAUGGAAUGAUCUGGGACCCCCCUCCCUGGGUGACUGCUCAGUCAGCCUCUGUGAUGGCAGUGUGAGCUGGAUUCUAUCAGCCACAAUUUGAGCAUCACCCUGCUUCCUGCAUUGUCUCAAGGGCUUCCAAGGGUAGCUUCUUGGAAUUCUUGAGCAAAAAGAGCCAGUGGGCCUGCCUUAGGGUUCCAUGCAGGGACAACUCAAGACCUAUCUCCUGGCCACUACAGAAGCACGGCACCAUGUGGAAAAAUCCUGGGACUGAUGAGUUCCUUUACUCAGGCAAACAGAAGUUCCAGCCACAGACUGGAGAAUAGGCAGCUAGCAACCUUGCCAGGUGCUGACCCCAACCUCCAGGUUGCAGCACUGGAGUUGGCCACCACCUCUUCCACUUGCUGUCUGAGAAAACACCUGAAUGGUCGAGCUGAGAUCCUGGCUUCUCAACAGGGCAAAGAUACCAGGCCUACUGCUGAGGUCACUGCCACUUCUCACAUGCUGAAGGAGCAAAAAUAAAGAAUGCUGCUAAGGAAGAAGUCAAGGAGGUCCUCAGCAUCAGCCCUCAGCACAGU